GACGAACGCUGGCGGCGUGCUUAACACAUGCAAGUCGAGCGGUAAGGCCCUUUCGGGGGUACACGAGCGGCGAACGGGUGAGUAACACGUGGGUGACCUGCCCUUAGCUCUGGGAUAAGCCUGGGAAACUAGGGUCUAAUACCGGAUAUGACCUCAUGACUCAUGUUGUGGGGUGGAAAGCCUUGUGCGGCUAGGGAUGGGCCCGCGGCCUAUCAGCUUGUUGGUGGGGUAAUUGCCUACCAAGGCGACGACGGGUAGCCGGCCUGAGAGGGCGACCGGCCACACUGGGACUGAGACACGGCCCAGACUCCACGGGAGGCAGCAGUGGGGAAUCCUGCGCAAUGGGCGAAAGCCUGACGCAGCGACGCCGCGUGA
rnacentral:rRNA from 1 species